rnacentral:rRNA from 1 species
UACGUAGGGUGCAGGCGUUAAUCGGAAUUAUUGGGCGUAAAGCGUGCGCAGGCGGUUUCUUAAGUCAGAUGUGAAAGCCCCGGGCUUAACCUGGGAACUGCGUUUGAAACUGGGAGACUUGAGUGUGGCAGAGGGGGGUGGAAUUCCACGUGUAGCAGUGAAAUGCGUAGAUAUGUGGAGGAACACCGAUGGCGAAGGCAGCCCCCUGGGUUAACACUGACGCUCAUGCACGAAAGCGUGGGGAGCAAACAGG